rnacentral:tRNA from 1 species
GCUGCCGUUGGACGAGAUUAGGUUACGCAGCUCGCCGAGUUGCGGGCCGAGGGUCGACUCGUACUCGGCCAGGCGUUCGACUUCGGUCGAGAGCG